GACGAACGCUGGCGGCGUGCUUAACACAUGCAAGUCGAACGGAAAGGCCCUGCUUUUGUGGGGUGCUCGAGUGGCGAACGAGUGAGUAACACGUGAGUAACCUGCCCUUGACUUUGGGAUAACUUCAGGAAACUGGGGCUAAUACCGGAUAGGAGCUCCUGCUGCAUGGUGGGGGUUGGAAAGUUUCGGCGGUUGGGGAUGGACUCGCGGCUUAUCAGCUUGUUGGUGGGGUAGUGGCUUACCAAGGCUUUGACGGGUAGCCGGCCUGAGAGGGUGACCGGCCACAUUGGGACUGAGAUACGGCCCAGACUCCUACGGGAGGCAGCAGUGGGGAAUAUUGCACAAUGGGCGGAAGCCUGAUGCAGCAACGCCGCGUGCGGGAUGACGGCCUUCGGGUUGUAAACCGCUUUCGCCUGUGACGAAGCGUGAGUGACGGUAAUGGGUAAAGAAGCACCGGCUAACUACGUGCCAGCAGCCGCGGUGAUACGUAGGGUGCGAGCGUUGUCCGGAUUUAUUGGGCGUAAAGGGCUCGUAGGUGGUUGAUCGCGUCGGAAGUGUAAUCUUGGGGCUUAACCCUGAGCGUGCUUUCGAUACGGGUUGACUUGAGGAAGGUAGGGGAGAAUGGAAUUCCUGGUGGAGCGGUGGAAUGCGCAGAUAUCAGGAGGAACACCAGUGGCGAAGGCGGUUCUCUGGGCCUUUCCUGACGCUGAGGAGCGAAAGCGUGGGGAGCGAACAGGCUUAGAUACCCUGGUAGUCCACGCUGUAAACGGUGGGUACUAGGUGUGGGGUCCAUUCCACGGGUUCCGUGCCGUAGCUAACGCUUUAAGUACCCCGCCUGGGGAGUACGGCCGCAAGGCUAAAACUCAAAGGAAUUGACGGGGCCCCGCACAAGCGGCGGAGCAUGCGGAUUAAUUCGAUGCAACGCGUAGAACCUUACCUGGGUUUGACAUGGAUCGGGAGCGCUCAGAGAUGGGUGUGCCUCUUUUGGGGUCGGUUCACAGGUGGUGCAUGGCUGUCGUCAGCUCGUGUCGUGAGAUGUUGGGUUAAGUCCCGCAACGAGCGCAACCCUUGUUCACUGUUGCCAGCACGUUAUGGUGGGGACUCAGUGGAGACCGCCGGGGUCAACUCGGAGGAAGGUGGGGAUGACGUCAAGUCAUCAUGCCCCUUAUGUCCAGGGCUUCACGCAUGCUACAAUGGCUGGUACAGAGAGUGGCGAGCCUGUGAGGGUGAGCGAAUCUCGGAAAGCCGGUCUCAGUUCGGAUUGGGGUCUGCAACUCGACCUCAUGAAGUCGGAGUCGCUAGUAAUCGCAGAUCAGCAACGCUGCGGUGAAUACGUUCCCGGGGCU
rnacentral:rRNA from 1 species